AAAACUGUGGACUCUGGGUGAUAAUGAUAUGCCAACCUGUGCUUUUCCUGCAGGGACUGAGCAAGAGCAGUGUGUGCACAUGUGGGAGUGCCAGCAGCUCCAGUGCAAUCCAGAUGUGCCCAGGUCCAUCUGUGUGUGAAUAUGCAGACACACCCACACUAUUUAUCAAUUAGUGUCUGCCACUGCCACUGCCAGUGUCACCAUCUCUGCCUGAUGAAUGACACUGGGCUGGACACACCACACCCCAGGAUAUCCUGCUGCACUCAGAUACAAGACUGAAGAAGCAAGAACAUUAUAAAAAAGAAAGAAUGAAAAGAAAGAAGAAAAGCAACUGAGCCCAGAGAUGGAUCCCAAAGCUGAAGAAUUGGUUUAAUUAAAUUGAAAGCUCUGGUGCGUGUGGUAAUUGUUAUGAAGGAAUCCAUAUCCCAUCAGAACCCUCUCCCCUGGAGUUUGCUCCAUAUUCU